rnacentral:misc_RNA from 1 species
GAUGAAGAACGUAGCGAAAUGCGAUACGUAAUGUGAAUUGCAGAAUUCAGUGAAUCAUCGAGUCUUUGAACGCACAUUGCGCCCCCUGGUAUUCCGGGGGGCAUGCCUGUCCGAGCGUCAUUGCUGCCCUCAAGCACGGCUUGUGUGUUGGGCCUCCGUCCUCCUCCCGGGGGGCGGGCCCGAAAGGCAGCGGCGGCACCGCGUCCGGUCCUCGAGCGUAUGGGGCUUCGUCACCCGCUCCGUAGGCCCGGCCGGCGCCCGCCGGCGACCCCCCUCAAUCUUUUCAGGUUGACCUCGGAUCAGGUAGGGAUACCCGCUGAACUUAAGCAUAUCAAAAGCGGAGGA